CAGCAGCACACUGUGGUUUGU
rnacentral:ncRNA from 14 species